GGAAUUUUCCGCAAUGGGCGAAAGCCUGACGGAGCAAUACCGCGUGAGGGAUGAAGGAUUUUGGUCUGUAAACCUCUUUUUUCAAGAAAGAAGCUCUGACGGUACUUGAAGAAUAAGCAUCGGCUAACUCCGUGCCAGCCGCCGCGGUAAUACGGGGGAUGCAAGCGUUAUCCGGAAUCAUUGGGCGUAAAGCGCCUGUAGGUUGUUUAGUAAGUUCGUUGUUAAAGACUAGGGCUUAACCCUAGGAAAGCGAUGAAAACUACUGGACUUGAGUAUGGUAGGGGUAGAGGGAAUUUCUAGUGUAGUGGUGAAAUGCGUAGAUAUUAGAAAGAACACCGGUGGCGAAAGCGCUCUACUGGACCAUUACUGACACUGAGAGGCGAAAGCUAGGGGAGCAAAA
rnacentral:rRNA from 1 species